GUUCUCUUGGGCCUAAAAGACCCCAUCUGCAACUAGACUCUGCAAACAUGUUUUAAAAUGCUUUCAUCCUGCAUUAAAAACUGGAAGAACUAAGAAUGUAUACAAUCCAUCCUUACAAGCAAGAAGAGAAAUACAGAGUGUAUUGAAUUACCUUUAGCACUUUGGGUGUUUGGAUGCUAUUUCCCAUAAGGCUUAGCCAGUCCAG